AUACGGAAGGUCCAGGCGUUAUCCGGAUUUAUUGGGUUUAAAGGGAGCGUAGGCUGUUUUUUAAGUCGUGUUGUGAAAUGUAGAUGCUUAACAUCUGAAUUGCAGCGCGAACUGGAAGACUUGAGUGCGCGGAAGGUAGGCGGAAUUCGUCGUGUAGCGGUGAAAUGCUUAGAUAUGACGAAGAACUCCGAUUGCGAAGGCAGCUUACCGCAGCGCCACUGACGCUGAUGCUCGAAGGUGCGGGUAUC
rnacentral:rRNA from 1 species